CAACUUCUCUGUGCAAGAGCCAACGGAAGGCACCAAUGUUGUCGUGUGCAUCACAGUUGCUGUCACACCAUCAAAUUUGAAAGCAGAAGAUGCAAAAUUUCCACUCGAUUUCCAAGUGAUUCUGGCUGGCUCACAGCGGUUCCGGGAGAAAUUUCCACCCGUGUUUUUUUCCUCAUUUGGAAACGCUGUCCAAAGCUCAAAUAAUAAAUUCCGUCGCAACUUCACCAAGACUUACCAUCUGAGCCCUGGGAACUAUGUUGUGGUUGCACAGACACGGAGAAAAUCAGUGGAGUUCUUGCUCCGAAUCUUCCUGAAAACGCCAGACAGUGACAGGUACAGAACCCUCUGGGAUUCUAAAUGUUUUAUUCUACUUAACUUUAUAAAAACACAUUGUGUCGUUAUGGGCAGUGCUCUGUGCAUUCGUGCAGCUUGUGCUAUGUCACUGGGGACACGAUAUUGGCCCCACUCUAGAGCAGCUCAUCAUAAAGGGGGAGCGAGAAAGUCUAUGAACCAAGAACCAGACCACAAACAGGAUGGGUCCAUUGCCAGAUGGAAAUGCAAAGUGGCACGGG
rnacentral:sRNA from 1 species